rfam:Ovis aries breed Texel chromosome 8, whole genome shotgun sequence.
UCCCUUAUAGCUUAGUUGGGAAAGAACCUGCCUGCAAUGCAGGAGACCCAGGUUUGAUUCCUGGGUUGGGAA